rnacentral:rRNA from 1 species
UGUAGCAGUGAAAUGCGUAGAGAUCAGGAGGAACAUCCAUGGCGAAGGCAGCUACCUGGACCAACACUGACACUGAGGCACGAAAGCGUGGGGAGCAAACAGGAUUAGAUACCCUGGUAGUCCACGCCCUAAACGAUGCGAACUGGAUGUUGGGUGCAAUUUGGCACGCAGUAUCGAAGCUAACGCGUUAAGUUCGCCGCCUGGGGAGUACGGUCGCAAGACUGAAACUCAAAGGAAUUGACGGGGGCCCGCACAAGCGGUGGAGUAUGUGGUUUAAUUCGAUGCAACGCGAAGAACCUUACCUGGCCUUGACAUGUCGAGAACUUUCCAGAGAUGGAUUGGUGCCUUCGGGAACUCGAACACAGGUGCUGCAUGGCUGUCGUCAGCUC